GAAAUAAAUUUCUAUUGUUGCAUAGCACUGUAGGGUAAAUAUGUUCAAAAAUAAUUGAAUGUAUAUUUUCAAAAAGCUAGAAGAGAAGAUUUUGAAUGUUCAUAACACAAAGAAAUGAUAGAUAUUUAGAGUGAUGGAUGACACUGACUUGGUCAUUACACACGGUAUACAUGUAUCAA